CUCCAGUAAGCAGAGUUUUUGGUCGGAACAAACCAUUCCCUCUUGUGUUUGAGCCAUUCUACAUGCCCACCAAGAACAAGGCAAGUCUUAUAAACCCUUAUAAAAGAUUUAUAAACUCUUAUAAAUGAAUUAUACCUUAAUAAUAUAUUUAGAAAUCCUUAUAAACUGUUUUGAUAACCAAUUGUAAAUAGAUUUAUUUGCUCUGAUAGAUAAAGUUAUUAACAGGAUUAAGCAACCAAGUCUCAAGACUAAUAUUAUAAGUCUCAGAGGGAAUAAACAACAUAGUUUCGUUGAUGGCUGCCUUGUCUAGUACGCAGAGCCGGUCCUGUACUUUUGGAGGCUGCAAACCAAAAAUCAAAUUAAGGCCGAAAAAAUCAUGCACUUAAGUAGAUUCGAACCCAGCACUUCUCGCAGUAGAAUAAUACCCUUGAACCGCUAGGCCAAAGACAUAUUUUGCAAACUUUGUGGCCGAUUAAAUAAUUAUUAGUGUGGCGGCCGGAAGCCCAUGCUUCCUUUGCUUGGGCCAAGGGCCGGCACUGCUAGUAGACAUACUAACCUGGGGUCUGGUUCUGGUGGCUGGAGCUCGUCUUAGGAGGAGGAUGAAGUAGAUCCAAUGGAUCAAGAUGAUGAAGAUGGGGAUGGUGAGAAAAACGCACGUUUCAACGAACACAGAAGAGUACAUUGCGAUGAGUUUCGGUAGGUGAAGGAACUGAGGUCAUCAGGUUGACAGGGUCGUUCUAUGUAGAAGAAGAGGAAGAAGAUGAUGGCGAAAGGCAGUAAAUCAGAGGCAACAACCUCACGUCACACUACCAAAGGCGUUAACAAAGAGUUAAAUGCAACCACGAGAGUUUCAUCCUCGAGUUGAUAUCAACCUCUGCUAAAUCAAAUGUGUACUCUCCUCUAUGUUUAACAGAGUUACCUCUCGAUUAAUCAAAUCAGUUUAUUAGAAAUUAAUUUACAUACCUUUAUAUUAUGAAAUUGUUUUUGCAUCCUGUUUUCAUGUAAUUUUUUCCUCUUCAUUCAUAAUCGUGACUAUCAUAAAGCAUUAUUCUA